GUAUUGACUUGCUGGUAGGAAAUUUUGGCUAGACUGAUACUGAGAGGGCCAGAUGGAAGCGUCAUCCUUCAGCAUCACUUGUUUUGCGUAACACUGGGAUUGGAACUACAUUUGAAUAGCACAUAGUCAUAGAUGUGUACAGAAGCCUUGCCAUGCUUUAAAUAAGUGAAUGCAGGUAUAGAAAAGUCCCCCAGGAUUUCCUUCUUUGUUACAGUGAUCUCAUUUUCUUGUGUACAAGCAGGAGGACAAGUGUGCACUUGGAUGAUGAUGAAAAUGAACUUAACCAUCCAGAAUGAGAUUUUGACUGUAGAAUCAGCAUUCCCAGACACGAGUAUAUUGUCCUUGAGUUCCAUUCCACUUGUGAGAGACUGGUGGCCUGUUAGUGUGUGAAUGCAGUUGCCUGUCUCCACAUCCCAAACUCGGAUGGAAGUAUCAAGAGAUCCACUCACCACAUGGAUACCAUCAAACUACAAGAAAGUCCUGCCAGAUUGUGGUGAGAACAGGCACAAGCAUGAAAUUAAUUUCUUUCGCCUUUCAACGCCUGGAAGUGAUGCUCUGACUCUAUGAAUGAGCAAGACGAUCUUUUGGGUUAGUAAAGUUUAAACUUUUUAAGGCUUUUUUAGGCAAGAACAGAAAUGAGAAGGAAUUAAUAUUAAUGGAACUGAUAAAGAUAAAACCUCAUCCUUCUUUGAAAAAGAAGGAAAGCAACCAACAGGCACUCUGUCAGCAGCUCCAUAGCACAGCCAGGUAAAGGAGCUUUGCCAGCAUUUGUUGUGUGGACCAAGACAUGGUUUAUCAUGGGAGGAAUUAUGAUAUAAUCAGCUAAAAUGUACAGAAAAGACUGCAGUGCCAAUACUUAAACAGUCAUUCUGCAAGAUGAGUACAAGUUUGUGGCACUGACAAAAAAGAAGAAAUUAUUUAGAGCGUGGGAGACUGGAUCACAGCGUAACAAAGAACUAGUUUUGAAAUAAGGCAGAAUGUGACUUUAUAAAGUACGUGACUCAAUUUCUGUUCUUUAAUUAGCACUCUUGUGCUUUUGCUUCUA